rnacentral:rRNA from 1 species
GGGUUGUGAGGUUAAGCGACUAAGCGUACACGGUGGAUGCCCUGGCAGUCAGAGGCGAUGAAGGGCGUGCUAAUCUGCGAUAAGCGCCGGUAAGGUGAUAUGAACCGUUAUAACCGGCGAUACCCGAAUGGGGAAACCCAGUGUGACUCGUCACACUAUCAUUAACUGAAUCCAUAGGUUAAUGAGGCGAACCGGGGGAACUGAAACAUCUAAGUACCCCGAGGAAAAGAAAUCAACCGAGAUUCCCCCAGUAGCGGCGAGCGAACGGGGAGGAGCCCAGAGCCUGAAUCAGCAUGUGUGUUAGUGGAAGCGUCUGGAAAGGCGCGCGAUACAGGGUGACAGCCCCGUACACAAAAGCGCAUAUGCUGUGAGCUCGAUGAGUAGGGCGGGACACGUGGUAUCCUGUCUGAAUAUGGGGGGACCAUCCUCCAAGGCUAAAUACUCCUGACUGACCGAUAGUGAACCAGUACCGUGAGGGAAAGGCGAAAAGAACCCCGGCGAGGGGAGUGAAAAAGAACCUGAAACCGUGUACGUACAAGCAGUGGGAGCACCCUUUGGGGUGUGACUGCGUACCUUUUGUAUAAUGGGUCAGCGACUUAUAUUCUGUAGCAAGGUUAACCGAAUAGGGGAGCCGGAGGGAAACCGAGUCUUAAC